AGGAAUUCUCAGGGCGGGGUGAAAUUCCCCACCGGCGGUAACUGACCGUCACAGGCCACUCAAAUCAAGCCUGUGCCGACAGAAGCCCGCGAGCGCUUUAUCAUGAUCACACUCUGUGUGGAUAAAGGUCAGCAGAUCUGGUGAAACUGUGUUCUCUACUGAAUACAGCGAGUCCAGAGCCGACGGUUAUAGUCCGGAUGGAAGAGAAUCAGC
rnacentral:ncRNA from 1 species